rnacentral:rRNA from 1 species
UGGGAAUUUUGGACGAAUUGGGCGAAAGCCUGAAUCCAGCAAUGCCGCGUGUGUGAAGAAGGCCUUCGGGUUGUAAAGCACUUUUGUCCGGAAAGAAAUCCUUGGCUCUAAUACAGUCGGGGGAGUGACGGUACCGGAAGAAUAAGCACCGGCUAACUACGUGCCAGCAGCCGCGGUAAUACGUAGGGUGCAAGCGUUAAUCGGAAUUACUGGGCGUAAAGCGUGCGCAGGCGGUUUGCUAAGACCGAUGUGAAAUCCCCGGGCUCAACCUGGGAACUGCAUUGGUGACUGGCAGGGCUAGAGUAUGGCAGAGGGGGGUAGAAUUCCACGUGUAGCAGUGAAAUGCGUAGAGAUGUGGAGGAAUACCGAUGGCGAAGGCAGCCCCCUGGCAAGUACUGACGCUCAUGCACGAAAGCGUGGGGAGCAAAC